AUGAAAGUUACACUGUUUAUCGUCAUUGUCAGCGCCGUUAUUGCGGUGAUAUCCAGCCAAGGGUGCAGGGAUGAUAGUGACUGUACUCACGUGACAUGUGACAGUUCCUCAAAGCUGGCCUGCUCUCAUGGACAAUGCACCUGUCUGGUCGCAGCCAAUGCAGGUUCAUGUCUUUCGGCCACAUGUAC